rnacentral:rRNA from 1 species
CACGUAAUUAGCCGGGGCUUAUUCGUCGAUUACCGUCAUCAGAUGAGCAUUCCCUCUCACCCUUAUUCUUCAUCAACAAAAGGAUUUUACAACUUUUCAGCCUUCUUCAUCCACGCGGCGUCGCUCCGUCAGACUUCCGUCCAUUGCGGAAUAUUCUUAGCUGCUGCCUCCCGUAGGAGUUUGGGCCGUAUCUCAGUCCCAAUGUGUCCGUUCACCCUCUCAGGCCGGAUACCCAUCGUUGCCUUGGUGGGCCUUUACCUCACCAACUAGCUAAUGGGACGCAAGCUCAUCCUCAAGCGAAGCCGUAGCUUCCUUUCCUCAACACCUCUUGUGAUAUGCCGAGUGUAUUCGGUAUUACCUGCUAUUUCUAGCAGCUAUCCCCAUCUUAAGGGUAGAUUACCCACGUGUUCCUCACCAGUCCGCCACUCUAGGAGAGAAGCAAGCUCCUCUCUUGCCGUUCGACUUGCAUGCUUAAGACGCGCCGCCAGCGUUCGUU